AACAAAAUUAUUCCUUUCACAAACUGAACCUAUGCUUGUACCCUUUAAAGGUCAACUGAUGUCACGACCCUUAACCCACAAGCAGAUAGAUAUUUGUCAGUGCAUAACGGCUCUGGUCUGUACGAGAUGUCUCGUGCACGCUGCUAUAUAUUUUUGUGUUUCUCAACAUGGUGAGCCCACCCGACAUGAUUCGGAUCCCUUCGUCUAAGAAAACGGUGAACUAAAAAGUGAGGAAGACGGUGAGGGAGGCGAAGAAGAACCCGAGGACCACAGUUCAGGAACCGUCAGAAAUUCCUCUAGUUCUUGUGGUCCGCCAGCCCACAGCUCCGGGCCCAGAGAACCAGAGUUUCCAUGGUAAUGGGAAAUGUGGGAAUAGUUGUGGAGGGGGGUU